rnacentral:rRNA from 1 species
GAUGAACGCUGGCGGCGUGCCUAAUACAUGCAAGUCGAGCGAACAGACGAGGAGCUUGCUCCUCUGACGUUAGCGGCGGGCGGGUGAGUAACACGUGGAUAACCUACCUAUAAGACUGGGAUAACUUCGGGAAACCGGAGCUAAUACCGUAUAACAUGUUGAACCGCAUGGUUCAACAGUGAAAGACGGUCUUGCUGUCACUUAUAGAUGGAUCCGCGCCGCAUUAGCUAGUUGGUAAGGUAACGGCUUACCAAGGCAACGAUGCGUAGCCGACCUGAGAGGGUGAUCGGCCACACUGGAACUGAGACACGGUCCAGACUCCUACGGGAGGCAGCAGUAGGGAAUCUUCCGCAAUGGGCGAAAGCCUGACGGAGCAACGCCGCGUGAGUGAAGAAGGUCUUCGGAUCGUAAAACUCUGUUAUUAGGGAAGAACAAAUGUGUAAGUAACUAUGCACGUCUUGACGGUACCUAAUCAGAAAGCCACGGCUAACUACGUG